UGAAACAAGGGAAAACAUUGGCAGCAGUAAAGAAUUUUAUGCAAUAUACGAAAGUAAGACAUAGGCAGAACCUUUGAACCUGUCAAAUUAAGUGCCAGCAGACGCGGUGAAACUUAAGGGUUUGUUUUUUAGAAAAAGCAGAAAGCGUGUAAAGGUAAAACAUUUAAAAUAAAUAGAAUUUUUUUAGUAAUGGUGGAAUAUUAAAAGAAAAAAAAGAAUUUUUUAUGUGAAGACAAUUUAUUUUUUUUCUUUAACACGAAGGUUCUGGGAGCGAACAGGAUUAGGAACCCUGGUAGUCGAUACAGUAAAAGAAAGUCGCUUGAGUAGUACGGUCGCAAGAUUAAAAUUCAAAAAACUUGGCUGUUCAUUGUUAUUUAGAGGAGCGUGUUGCUUAAUUCGAUAAUCCGCGAGUUACCUUACCAAAACUAGCUUUUACAGGUGUUGCAUGGCCGUCGUCAAUUUAUGUUUGAUACAAUCGAUUAAACCCUAGAAAGGUUGAAGUCAGGUAUUAUUGCCCUUAUGUUUUGGGGUUAAAUGCGCUACAUUUUUUUUUUAAUAAAAAAAAAGAGUUCGGAUUGUCUUUAAAAAAGGAUGAUUAAGUUGGAUUUAAUAGUAAUUGAAAAGUAGAGCGUUUCAAUGAAUUUGCCGCAAUGUUAGUACAAAUAGCCCGUCGCCUCUACGGAGGUAAACAAAGUA
rnacentral:rRNA from 1 species